rnacentral:rRNA from 1 species
GACGAACGCUGGCGGCGUGCCUAAUACAUGCAAGUAGAACGCUGAAGAGAGGAGCUUGCUCUUCUUGGAUGAGUUGCGAACGGGUGAGUAACGCGUAGGUAACCUGCCUGGUAGCGGGGGAUAACUAUUGGAAACGAUAUCUAAUACCGCAUAAAAUUGAUUAUUGCAUGAUAAUUAAUUGAAAGAUGCAACUGCAUCACUACCAGAUGGACCUGCGUUGUAUUAGCUAGUUGGUGAGGUAACGGCUCACCAAGGCGACGAUACCUAGCCGACCUGAGAGGGGGAUCGGCCACACUGGGACUGCGACACGGCCCAGAAGCCUGCGGGAGGGAGCAGGAGGGAAACUUCGGCAAUGGGGGGAACCCUGACCGAGCAACGCCGCGUGAGUGAAGAAGGGUGUCGGGUCGGAAAGCUCUGUUGUAAGAGAAGAACGGGUGUGAGAGUGGAAAGUUCACACUGUGACGGUACCUCACCAGAAAGGGACGGCUAACUACGUG